rnacentral:rRNA from 1 species
CCUCAGCCAGUCUCCUCGAUGGGAUCGCAGCCGCCGCCGCCGUUUCACUUCGGCCAUCUCAUCACCAUCAAGUUGUCGUCGGACAAUUACAUCUUCUGGCGCGCGCCGGUUCUUCCGCUUCUUGGGAGUCACUACCUGCUUGGCUAUGUCGACGGCUCUCUCCCUUGCCCUCCUGCGCUGGUUGACAGCGUGCAUGGUCCGGUCUAUAAUCCGGCUCACCGUGUCUGGACAGGGCAGGAUCAGGCGAACCUCUCCUCCAUCCAGGGGUCGCUCUCUCCGGCCGUUGCUGGGCUUGUUGUCUUCGCCAAGACGUCCCACGAGGCAUGGACUAUUCUUGAGCGCUCGUUUGCGGCACAGUUGCAGGCUCGUGUAUCUGGGCUCCGUCGCCAACUUGGGGAGUGUCAGAAGCUUGACUCCACCGCCACUGAGUUCUACAACAAAGUCAAGAGUCUCGCCGACACGCUGGCCUCCAUUGGACAGCCCCUCACCGACUCCGAGUUCACCUCGUUUAUUGUCAAUGGUCUUGAUGAGGAGUAUGACGCCCUAGUCGAGAUCAUCAAUGAGAGGGGCAACUCCACGCCCAUGCCAGCACACGAGGUCUUUUCACGCCUCCUGCUUACUGAGCAACGAGUCGAGACGCGCCGAUCCAGGGGCAACGGCGCCCUCUCGGCAAACGCCGCCACCAAGGGUGGUCGCUCCUUUGCUUCAUCCAGGGCUCCUUCGGGGCAGUCACCACCACCCGCCUCGGCCCCUCCUCCUACUGCGAUGCUACCAGGGGCUGGCGGUCCCCGUGUGUGCCAGCUUUGUGGUCGCGAUGGGCACUGGGCCUCGAAGUGUCACAAGCGCUUCCAGCGGGGUUUUCUUGGUCUUGGCAAUGACGGGAAGGAUACA